rnacentral:rRNA from 1 species
AAUCAUGGCUCAGGAUGAACGCUAGCGGCAGGCUUAACACAUGCAAGUCGAGGGGCAGCGGGGUGUAGCAAUACACUGCCGGCGACCGGCGCACGGGUGCGUAACGCGUAUGCAACCUACCCAUAACAGGGGCAUAACACUGAGAAAUUGGUACUAAUUCCCCAUAACAUUCGAAGAGGCAUCUCUUUGGGUUGAAAACUCCGGUGGUUAUGGAUGGGCAUGCGUUGUAUUAGCUAGUUGGUGAGG